AAUGCAGUCGAACGGGCUGUUUAUGCAGCCAGUGGCGGACGGGUGAGUAACACGUAGGUGACCUACCCCAAAGUCUGGGACAACUAGGAGAAAUCUUAGCUAAUCCUGGAUGUGGACAUCUACUUUGGUGGAUGUUUAAAGCUUCGGCGCUUUGGGAUGGGCCUGCGGCGCAUCAGGUAGUUGGUGGGGUAAUGGCCUACCAAGCCGACGACGCGUAGCUGGUCUGAGAGGACGAUCAGCCACAGGGGUACUGAGACACGGACCCCACUCCUACGGGAGGCAGCAGUUAGGAAUCUUCCGCAAUGGGCGAAAGCCUGACGGAGCGAUACCGCUUGAAGGACGAAGCCCUUCGGGGUGUAAACUUCUGAACUCGGGACGAUAAUGACGGUACCGAGGUAAUAGCACCGGCUAACUCCGUGCCAGCAGCCGCGGUAAUACGGAGGGUGCGAGCGUUACCCGGAUUUACUGGGUGUAAAGGGCGUGUAGGCGGUCUCUCAAGUCCGAUGCUAAAGACCGAAGCUCAACUUCGGGGGUGCGUUGGAUACUGUGAGGCUAGACGGUCGGAGAGGGUAGCGGAAUUUCCGGAGUAGCGGUGAAAUGCGCAGAUACCGGAAGGAACGCCAAUAGCGAAAGCAGCUACCUGGACGAUUUGUGACGCUGAGGCGCGAAAGCGUGGGGAGCAAACCGGAUUAGAUACCCGGGUAGUCCACGCCCUAAACGAUGAGUGCUGGGUGUCCGACAUCUGUUGGGUGCCGUAGCUAACGCGUUAAGCACUCCACCUGGGAAGUACGGUCGCAAGACUGAAACUCAAAGGAAUUGACGGGGGCCCGCACAAGCGGUGGAGCAUGUGGUUUAAUUCGAAGCAACGCGCAGAACCUUACCAGGUCUUGACAUCCACGGAACCCUGAUGA
rnacentral:rRNA from 1 species